rnacentral:tRNA from 1 species
GCCGGUGUAGCUCAGUGGUAGAGCAGCGCAUUCGUAAUGCGCCGGUCGCGGGUUCGAUUCCCAUCACCGGCU